rnacentral:rRNA from 1 species
UACGUAGGGUCCGAGCGUUGUCCGGAAUUACUGGGCGUAAAGAGCUCGUAGGUGGUUUGUCGCGUUGUUCGUGAAAACUCACAGCUCAACUGUGGGCGUGCGGGCGAUACGGGCAGACUGGAGUACUGCAGGGGAGACUGGAAUUCCUGGUGUAGCGGUGGAAUGCGCAGAUAUCAGGAGGAACACCGAUGGCGAAGGCAGGUCACUGGGCCGCAACUGACGCUGAGGAGCGAAAGCAUGGGGAGCGAACAGG